rnacentral:tRNA from 1 species
AAAUAAGAAGCAAUAAAUUGCCUUUAGUUUCGACCUAAAAGUUUGGUUCUUACCCUUAUUUU